rnacentral:rRNA from 1 species
UUUCCGGUUGAUCCUGCCGGACCCCACUGCUAUCGGGGUGGGACUAAGACAUGCAAGUCGGCGCCCAGGGCCAUGGCUGGGCGCGGCGCACGGCUCAGUAACACGUGGCCAACCUACCCUCGGGACGGGGAUAACCCCGGGAAACUGGGGCUAACCCCCGAUAGGAGAGGUGUGCCUGGAAGUGGUCCCUCUCCGAAAGGGUGCUGGGGCCAUCCCCAGCGCCGCCCGAGGAUGGGGCUGCGGCCCAUCAGGUAGUUGGUGGGGUAACGGCCCACCAAGCCUGAGACGGGUACGGGCCGUGAGAGCGGGAGCCCGGAGAUGGGCACUGAGACAAGGGCCCAGGCCCUAUGGGGCGCAGCAGUCGCGAAACCUCCGCAAUGCGCGAAAGCGCGACGGGGCCACCCCGAGUGCCACCCGCUGAGGGUGGCUUUUCCCCGGUCCAAAAGGCCGGGGGUAAUAAGGGGAGGGCAAGUUUGGUGUCAGCCGCCGCGGUAAUACCAACUCCCCGAGUGGUCGGGAUGUUUACUGGGCUUAAAGCGCCCGUAGCCGGCCCGGUAAGUCCCCCGUUAAAUCCGGCGUCCCAAGCGCCGGGCUGCGGGGGAUACUGCCGGGCUUGGGAGCGGGAGAGGCCGGCGGUACUCCCGGGGGAGGGGUAAAAUCCUUAGAUCCCGGGAGGACCAUCAGUGGCGAAGGCGGCCGGCUAGAACGCGUCCGACGGUGAGGGGCGAAAGCUGGGGGAGCGAUCCGGAUUAGAUACCCGGGUAGUCCCAGCUGUAAACGAUGCAGGCUAGGUGUGGGGGCGGCUACGGGCCGCCCCUGUGCCGUAGGGAAACCGUUAAGCCUGCCGCCUGGGGAGUACGGCCGCAAGGCUGAAACUUAA